rnacentral:rRNA from 1 species
AACGACGCUGGCGGCAUGCCUAACACAUGCAAGUCGAACGAGACCUUCGGGUCUAGUGGCGCACGGGUGCGUAACGCGUGGGAACCUGCCCUUAGGUUCGGAAUAACUCCCCGAAAGGGGUGCUAAUACCGGAUAAUGUCUUCGGACCAAAGAUUUAUCGCCUUUGGAUGGGCCCGCGUUGGAUUAGCUAGUUGGUAGGGUAAAAGCCUACCAAGGCGACGAUCCAUAGCUGGUCUGAGAGGAUGAUCAGCCACACUGGGACUGAGACACGGCCCAGACUCCUACGGGAGGCAGCAGUGGGGAAUAUUGGACAAUGGGCGAAAGCCUGAUCCAGCAAUGCCGCGUGAGUGAUGAAGGCCUUAGGGUUGUAAAGCUCUUUUACCCGGGAUGAUAAUGACAGUACCGGGAGAAUAAGCUCCGGCUAACUCCGUG